CGGGGACGUGGAUCCAGUCAACGGCGACCUCUAUUGCGUCUCCGGAGGCCUCAAUUUCAGGUGUGAAGAGCUAGGUUCAGGCCGUGGUGACGUCGAUUCCGAUCGAGUCCCUUUUCCUCCUCUCUUGGACAAACGCGAGGACAGCAAUCCCAUGGGUAGUUCCGUUUGGUUUGAGCAGCUUGUCGAGGCGGAUAGAUGGCCGACCUAUGAGUUCUCCCUCCAACCAUCUUAUUGUACCGACGAGUAUUGGCGGUUGUACUAUUUUCUCAUCUCCUAUUCUGGCUGCUAAUUACUUAUUCCUAACCCAUCUGACCUCUCCAUCCUGGUUGUUGUUUGAGUACAGGUGCGUCUCAAUCACCGAUUGUAUGAACUAAAUUUGCAUUGUAUGAUUGAGAUUUGUUCCAUUGUGCUUGGUUCUGCAGGUUAAACAGCUCACGGUAGUAUUUUUUAUGAUUGUGCAUGUGUUCCUCUUCUAAAUAUGGGCAACUAAUGCUACUGCUUUGCAGCCUUCCAUGUGCUUGAUGGAAUGCUUGGCUGCAC
rnacentral:lncRNA from 1 species